rnacentral:lncRNA from 1 species
UACGCCGUAGCUAUACCGGCGCGGUAGCCAUUGUUCAUCUGCUGCAUGCUUUGUGUGAUUAGGUUUCAAUAUUUUCAAGGUUGUUUUGCUCGGACAAUGUUCUUCAAAGUGAUGUCUGCUUCUUGUGUCGUCGCUGGUCGCCACCAGGUUCUUCGGCGACUGAUGAAAGUCCCACGAAGGAAUUUUCGACAGAGUCGGAGAAGUGCAGCAAAGGCACCCAGUUCGAAAAAGGAACUUACCUUGGCUGCACUGAUGUUCAGUGUUGGUAUCCUGGCAGUUCCCAGCUGGAUCUCUGUCACUUGGAUGGGCCAUGGAGAAUCUAAGUAGACAACAUCGUUCCUCCACCUCACCCACUGAUCAGGGUCAUGAAACGGCAGGAGAGAGAGACCUCGUGUAGAACAAGCUGACAAGAGGAUGCUGAGACAGAGCAGCUGAUUUUCUGUUCUUCUGUUCUUUGAACCCGAACUUUGUCAUUUGAAUCUCGUUAUUCGGUAAUAUCCACUGGUCCAAUGCAAAUAUCACAGAUAUUCCUGUAUCCUCGUGGCCUCUUAUUGGUUUUCUGUGCAAAUUUUGAUGGAGCCAAAUAAUCUCAAGUUAUUGGCAAUUUUAUUUUUCCGUAGGCAGUGGUGUAGCGAGGCUCUGCUCAGGGAAGGGAAGACAAAUGACAGCAUGGCUGCUUUUUAGGGGAACAUUUCAUUUUGAUUCAGGGCCUAAAAUCGGUCUAUGUCCACAUUAAGGUGACAUAUCAACACUAUAGUAUACAGAUGGCUUGGCAAAAGCCCCCCCCAAAAAAAUCCCAAUUUUCUAGAGAGGACAGUGGCCAGGAAGCGUUCCUAGUUGGCCCCACUUGCCCCAACCGAGCUAGUACACUGUCAGUUGGGAUAAAAUGGCUUGUUUUAUUGGCCAAAAACUGCAACACAAAUUGUGUGAAUACUGUUUGUUCUGAGUGUUCCAGGCUUCCAGCUAACCCAAAUUCAUAUCUGGCGUACUGCACAGGUAUUUUGCAAAUGCAGUAGAUAAAAGGAGCAGAAAUUUACAUUAAUUCCCAAAGUUGAAUUUAUACAUAGUGUGGACUUUAUUGAAUUCAAUUUCUCCAUACAUUAUUGUAGAGUAUCCCUCUUAUGAAAUGUAACUCGUGUCUAAAAUGACUGGUCAAGUUGGAAUUUUCUCCACUGUUUCUGACGAUUCCCUGUUUUCGUCUUCUCUGGAAUAAAAUAUGUGUGCACAUCUUAAUUUGUCAAAUGUUCUUCCCAAGUAAGAAGUGAUGAUUUAUUGAAUUCCAGUUGAAAACAAAUUAAUUCUCAUGAUAAUUAGGACACAUUUCGUCUCUAAAUGACCCUAAUAUGUAAUAAGUUGACCUUGAGUGAGUCUAGGAAUUCGAUUUAACACUGCGUGAAGUUACGAACUUUACUUGAACCGUCUUUGUUUUUCUUUAGGGUUUAAGGUUUCCAAAGUACAACGACAAAUUUAAAGAACUCAAAAAUUAAAAUUCAACCCGGCAGUGUUUUCAAAGUCUUAACAAUUUGCCUUUAUAAAUUUGUAUUACAUGUUAGUAACUGCUUGCUAAUGAAAUUUAUGUCAGUGCCAUGAUCACUACAGCGAUUUAAUUAUUCCUGUUUUUUAUCAAGCUCAAGUGAUGUCUGCGGGUAGUCUGAUAUUCAGGACUUUGUUGGGUUGAGGAUGCCAUGGUGUUAGUCGUCUGUUUGAUCGUCAUCUUUCUUCCUGUAGUCAUUGAUAUGAAGGAAAAACCACCAGGUCGGUCCGAGCAGGGCCGUCGCCAAACACAGCUGCGCUGUGGCCAUCUCCCAUGGCUUCAGAACAUUCUUGGGGGCCUACAACGUAAUAAAUGUUGAACACGUUAAUUCA